AGAAAAAUAAGCUAAUUUUAAGCUAUUGGACUCAUAAUUCAAUUAUAGGUUUACCUUUUUUCUA
rnacentral:tRNA from 1 species